GACGAACGCUGGCGGCGUGCCUAAUACAUGCAAGUAGAACGCUGAAGAGAGGAGCUUGCUCUUCUUGGAUGAGUUGCGAACGGGUGAGUAACGCGUAGGUAACCUGCCUGGUAGCGGGGGAUAACUAUUGGAAACGAUAGCUAAUACCGCAUAAAAUUGAUUAUUGCAUGAUAAUUAAUUGAAAGAUGCAAUUGCAUCACUACCAGAUGGACCUGCGUUGUAUUAGCUAGUUGGUGAGGUAACGGCUCACCAAGGCGACGAUACAUAGCCGACCUGAGAGGGUGAUCGGCCACACUGGGACUGAGACACGGCCCAGACUCCUACGGGAGGCAGCAGUAGGGAAUCUUCGGCAAUGGGGGGAACCCUGACCGAGCAACGCCGCGUGAGUGAAGAAGGUUUUCGGAUCGUAAAGCUCUGUUGUAAGAGAAGAACGGGUGUGAGAGUGGAAAGUUCACACUGUGACGGUAUCUACCA
rnacentral:rRNA from 1 species